rnacentral:pre_miRNA from 1 species
GGAAAUGACAUCCGGAAUGGAGUGGAGAGGUGAGCGUCAGUAGUUCAAGGUCCUUCCUCCUUGAAAUUCUAGGAUUUCCUUCUUGG